UCUGGCGGCAGUAGCGCGGUGGUCCCACCUGACCCCAUGCCGAACUCAGAAGUGAAACGCCGUAGCGCCGAUGGUAGUGUGGGGUCUCCCCAU
rnacentral:rRNA from 1 species